rnacentral:RNase_P_RNA from 1 species
AAAUUGCGGCAUUGCUUUAUUGCAGUGUUGAGGAAAGUCCAGACUGCCACAACCUGAGAUGGUUGUAGUGUUCGUGCCCGGCGCAAGCUGGGGCAGAGCUAAGCUCUGACGACGGCAAAAUCGACUCAUGCAGCCGAAAGUAGCCCUAAAGUGCACAGAGAAUGAGUAGACUGGCGACAGUCUAGUGAAAAGUGGUAAACUCCACGAGGCAGAAACCCAAAUUUUGGUAGGGGAACUUCCUGAAGGGAAUCAAACCAAAAGGAAGAACGCAGUUCCUGCGUUAGAUAA